GCAGAGAGGGAGCACAGCCUUCCUUGCCAAACUGUAGUUUUAUUCCUGUGAGAGUAAAAUUUUCCAUUGAAUGACUAUUUCUGAGGCGAUGGUAUCAGUCACGGGUGAUCUUCUGAGCCGAGUGGGAGCUGAGCGCUUGCUUGUGUCGGAGGGAGCUCAGAUUCCGAAAGGGAAAGGUGGUUUUUUCACAGCAACCAGUGUAACAGCAGGGCAGCAAGAGCCGCAGAUUUAGGACGGCUGAGCCUCGCGUGCAGGCCUGCGGGGGGCUCCAGAGGAGGCAAAGGCUGCGACUUUUGGGGUGGCCACAGCGCCCGUGUGGGAGGCUUCUCUGGGAGAGGGUGAAGCCAGACCCCGGCCCUGAGCCCCGCGUGGCCUUGCCAGGCCCUCGCAGCCCCCCGCUUGUCCCUGCAAACACUCGGGGUGCAGGAGGCAGCUGCCUGGCAGGUAGGGGACUGGGAACCUGGGACCCCGCCGACAGGUUGGUUGUGGAGCUGGGUUCCAGCCCCGGCCCUGGCUGACGGCUGUGUGCUCUGAGCAGAGACUCCAUCUCUGUCUGGGGAUCCUCAGCUCAAACAUCGAAGCACAGUACCUUCCCUCGUGGGCGUUGUGAAAUGUGGAGCGAGCGCUGUCUCCCUUCUGCGGCCCUCGGCCCCAGCGCGGCCUCCUGGGUGCGGGCCUCACCCCGGCUGGCGGCGCGGGCCCGGCUCCUCCCUGCGGAGCGCAGUGAUGGGCGGGUUGUUCUAGAACCGCCGCGAAAGCCCCGACGCUGCCGGGUGAGCACCGGCCGUGCGCCCUCCACCCGGCGCGGCCUGACCCGCGUCCUGCUCCGCGCGCGCCCGAUGGCGGAACCGGAAAAACUGCGAUUACAGUCCUGA
rnacentral:lncRNA from 1 species